UACGGGGGAAGGGCAGUCGUUGUCGGAAUUACUGGGCGUAAAGGGCGCGCAGGCGGCUGCUCAAGUCAGGCGUGAAAGGCCUGGGCUCAACCCGGGAAUUGCGCUUGAGACUGGGCUGGCUUGAGUGCGGGAGAGGAUGGUGGAAUUCCCAGUGUAGAGGUGAAAUUCGUAGAUAUUGGGAAGAACACCGGUGGCGAAGGCGGCCAUCUGGACCGCAACUGACGCUGAGGCGCGAAAGCGUGGGGAGCAAACAGGG
rnacentral:rRNA from 1 species